UUCUGUCGAGCACAAGGGUGCGAGUCCGCCGGAAUUCUUGUGCGAAAAGUGGGUCGAGUGCUGCGACAAGGGUCGUGGUGUUGAGGGUUUCGUGCGCGUGAGUGGUGUGGUCUUCGGUCGCCGGAAUUCUUUCGCCGGCGAUUUCUAACGGUCCCAAUUUCAUAAGCGGCUCGUUCUAUUAAGUCAGCGAAAAUUCUCCGUUACAAGACUAGGUGAGCUGGUGCUGCUGCAUGACAUCAAGCAUAUGGGGGCUAGACUGUAGUUUGAAGUUAACUUUUGGUUGAUCAUUAAUGAAUUUUAUAGAACAUUAUUACAUGGUUUGAGUUUGAAUAAAGAGGGGUCAUCUAUGAUUCCCGAGUUGUAAUUACAUUUUCUAUUCCGCUGCAAUUUGGUUUUGAGACAAUGAAUUUGAGUUACCAUAUUUCUAAUUA